UACGAAGGGUGCAAGCGUUACUCGGAAUUACUGGGCGUAAAGCGCGUGUAGGCGGCCCGGUAAGUCCGCUGUGAAAGUCGGGGGCUCAACCUCGGAUGCCGGUGGAUACUGUCGGGCUAGAGUGCGGAAGAGGCGAGUGGAAUCCUGGUGUAGCGGUGAAAUGCGCAGAUAUCAGGAGGAACACCGGUGGCGAAGGCGGGCUCCUGG
rnacentral:rRNA from 1 species